rnacentral:rRNA from 1 species
AUUGAACGCUGGCGGCAGGCCUAACACAUGCAAGUCGAGCGAGCGGCGGACGGGUGAGUAAUGUAUGGGGACUGCCCGAUAGAGGGUGAUAACUACUGGAAACGGUAGCUAAUACCGCAUACUAUCGGAUAACCCAUAUGGGAUUAGCUAGUAGGUGAGGUAAUGGCUCACCUAGGCGACGAUCCCUAGCUGGUCUGAGAGGAUGAUCAGCCAGCGUGGUACUGAGACACGGCCCAGCCGCUUGGGGAGGCAGCAGUGGGGAAUGUUGCACAAAGAGAGCAGGCCUGAUGCAGCCAUGCAGAGUGUAUGAAGAAGGCCGUAGGGUUGUAAAGUACUUUAAGUGGGGAGGCGUUACCGACAGAAGAAGCACCGGCUAACUCCGUGCCAGCAGCCGCGGUAAUUC